AACGAACGCUGGCGGCGUGCCUAAUACAUGCAAGUCGUACGAGAAAGCCCUUCGGGGUGAGUAGAGUGGCGCACGGGAGAGUAAUGCAUGGGAACGUACCUUUAGGAGGGGGAUAACCACGGGAAACUGUGGCUAAUACCGCGUGUGGUAGCAAUACUAAAGAUGGCCUCUACUUGUAAGCUAUCGCCUAAAGAUCGGCCCAUGUCCCAUUAGAUUGAUGGUGAGGUAAUGGCUCACCAUGUCGACGAUGGGUAGCUGGUCUGAGAGGAUGAUCAGCCUCACUGGGACUGAGACACGGCCCAG
rnacentral:rRNA from 1 species